AUACCACUCUUGGAUAUUAAUAAAUUGCUUCGCCGAGCGCAGCUGGAUACGACCGCAGAGGUCCAACCCUGAACAGUUGGGGCAAAAAUGGACACAAUACUCGCGCUUGAUACAGGUCUGAAUUUGGAUUGUAAUUAAAUAUUUGACACAUAAUAGGUUUCUGACACAGAAUAACUGUAGUCAAAGAACUUAGAAUUGGUUAUAUGAUUUGAAUUUAUAUUUAAUUUUUUGCUUUUGUGCAA